rnacentral:rRNA from 1 species
GUUGGUGGGGUAAAGGCCUACCAAGGCGACGAUCUGUAGCGGGUCUGAGAGGAUGAUCCGCCACACUGGAACUGAGACACGGUCCAGACUCCUACGGGAGGCAGCAGUGGGGAAUAUUGGACAAUGGGCGCAAGCCUGAUCCAGCCAUGCCGCGUGUGUGAAGAAGGCCUUUUGGUUGUAAAGCACUAUAAGCGAGGAGGAGGCUUACCUGGUUAAUACCUAGGAUAAGUGGACGUUACUCGCAGAAUAAGCACCGGCUAACUCUGUGCCAGCAGCCGCGGUAAUACAGAGGGUGCGAGCGUUAAUCGGAAUUACUGGGCGUAAAGCGCGCGUAGGCGGUUUGUUAAGUCGGAUGUGAAAUCCCCGGGCUCAACCUGGGAAUUGCAUUCGAUACUGGCAAGCUAGAGUAUGGGAGAGGAAGGUAGAAUUCCAGGUGUAGCGGUGAAAUGCGUAGAGAUCUGGAGGAAUACCGAUGGCGAAGGCAGCCUUCUGGCCUAAUACUGACGCUGAGGUGCGAAAGCAUGGGGAGCAAACAGGAUUAGAUACCCUGGUAGUCCAUGCCGUAAACGAUGUCAACUAGCCGUUGGGGGAUUUGAUCCUUUAGUGGCGCAGCUAACGCGAUAAGUUGACCGCCUGGGGAGUACGGUCGCAAGACUAAAACUCAAAUGAAUUGACGGGGGCCCGCACAAGCGGUGGAGCAUGUGGUUUA